GAUGAACGCUGGCGGCGUGCUUAACACAUGCAAGUCGAACGAAGCUGCCCGGAGGAAGUUUUCGGAUGGAAUUUAGGUAGACUUAGUGGCGGACGGGUGAGUAACGCGUGGAUAACCUGCCUUAUACAGGGGGAUAACGGAGAGAAAUUUCCGCUAACACCGCAUAAGACCACAGCACCGCAUGGUGCAGGGGUAAAAUAUUUAUAGGUAUAAGAUGGAUCCGCGUCCGAUUAGCUAGUUGGUGAGGUAAAGGCCCACCAAGGCGACGAUCGGUAGCCGGCCUGAGAGGGUGAACGGCCACAUUGGGACUGAGACACGGCCCAAACUCCUACGGGAGGCAGCAGUGGGGAAUAUUGGACAAUGGGGGAAACCCUGAUCCAGCGACGCCGCGUGAGUGAAGAAGUAUUUCGGUAUGUAAAGCUCUAUCAGCAGGGAAGAAAAUGACGGUACCUGACUAAGAAGCCCCGGCUAACUACGUGCCAGCAGCCGCGGUAAUACGUAGGGGGCAAGCGUUAUCCGGAUUUACUGGGUGUAAAGGGAGCGCAGACGGCAAUGCAAGUCUGAAGUGAAAGGCGUGGGCUCAACCCAUGAACUGCUUUGGAAACUGUAUAGCUUGAGUGUCGGAGGGGUAAGCGGAAUUCCUAGUGUAGCGGUGAAAUGCGUAGAUAUUAGGAGGAACACCGGAGGCGAAGGCGGCUUACUGGACGACAACUGACGUUGAGGCUCGAAGGCGUGGGGAGCAAACAGG
rnacentral:rRNA from 1 species